AAUGGGCGCAAGCCUGAACCAGCCAUCCCGCGUGCAGGAAGACGGCCCUAUGGGUUGUAAACUGCUUUUCCAGGGGACGAAUAGCUUUUACGUGUAAGGGCAUGACGGUACCUUGGGAAUAAGCAUCGGCUAACUCCGUGCCAGCAGCCGCGGUAAUACGGAGGAUGCGAGCGUUAUCCGGAUUCAUUGGGUUUAAAGGGUGCGUAGGCGGACUGAUAAGUCAGUGGUGAAAUCCUGCAGCUUAACUGUAGAACUGCCAUUGAUACUGUUAGUCUUGAGUUUGGUUAAGGUAGGCGGAAUGUGUAAUGUAGCGGUGAAAUGCUUAGAUAUUACACAGAACACCGAUUGCGUAGGCAGCUUACUGGACCGACACUGACGCUGAGGCACGAAAGCGUGGGGAUCGAA
rnacentral:rRNA from 1 species